AUGGGGAUGAAUGUAUGGUGCACUGUUUGCAAUCAGAGAUUGUGUUGGUGUGUGUACCGGGAUGCGGUUUAUAUGAGUGACACGGAACAGAUCAGUGGACAUCGACAGACAUCACUUCAGGAUUCGACAGGGAGGUCUCAACGAGGUGCAGCUCUCACUCCCCCCCCCAACCCCAACAGUAAUGUCGGGAACUCACCAGACAAGCGUGUUGGGAGGAGAGGAUUUUGGGACCCCUUUUGGUUACAAACCUGUACCAGAACCCACCUUGAGUGGGAUUUUUGCUCCUCCAUUUACAGUGGCCGCUAUGUCUGCUUCAGGGGCUGUGGAUAUAUCCUCUGAGAAGCAACCUGCUCCGGGAAUGACUGAAGGACAUUCAGCAACACUCAUAGAUAUGGAGUCUGCUCCUUUGUAGGCUCCAGGUACAGUGGUUCUUGCGGAUAUAGAAUCUGCUCUAGUUGGAGUCACCGUCCCCUCUUUUGGACCAGCAGCUUCAGGGGACACAGUGAUCGAAUCAUGGUCACGCACACGCUCAUAAGAAUUUUAAGAUCUACUGCAUAAUAAUAAUAUUAGUAGUAAUAAUAAUAAUAAAGCAAUUAAAUAAUUAAAGGAUUAAAAGUUAUUUAAGGGAAUAAGUAAAUAAAAAUGUUUUUACACUAUUUAUAGGGGUCAUAUGAUGCAAUUUCAAGUUUUCCUUUCUCUUUGGAGUGUUUCAAGCUUUUGCAUAAAGAAGAUCUGUAAAGUUGCAAAGACUAAAGUCUGAAAACCAAAGAGAUAUUCUUUAUAAAAGUUCAGAGUUAACCACACCCCCUAAAAUGGCUCGUUCUAACACGCCCCCACAUCUCUACGUCAGUAAGUGGGAAGAUUUGCAUAACGCCGCCCAAAUGUUCACACAAAGAAAGGAGUAACUUUUAUUCUCUCUGUUGCCGCCGCUGCCAUGUUGUGGAGUUAAUGUGUGUUUCGUUGUGAAAGCGAAACUACUUUGUUUGGCCUUCCAAAAGAGGACAUAACUAGAAAUCAGAUGUGUGCUGUGCAUUUUAUGGAGUUUGAGGACUGUUUCCUGAACCAGUAUCCUGCAAUUUGUCUGUGGCACAAUGGCUGUUUCUGUGAAGUUGGGCAGUUCAAACUUUGCAAGGACAGUCUGGCGCUUCUGACUCACAGCCUUUUUUUGUAUUUAAAUAAUUUGCCAAUGAUGAUUCAAACGGGAGUUUUGAGCAGUAGAGUAGGCUUGUUGUUUGUGGUUUCUUUGAUUACAAAUGCAGACAUGGUUCUCUGUUUAUGCAGCUCAAUAUGCAACGCGUAAAAAAAGACAGUACAAGUCAUUAUAAUCAGUAAUUAUGUCCCUACUGGAUGUGACCAAUGCCCCGUUUGUAAUGGGUUUUAUUGGUUUUGUCUCAUCUAGUGAUGUCCGGAUCGCAAACGAAUCUUUCUAUUUAACCAGAUCUUCUGGUCUCGAGUCUUGUGCUGCUGGCCUGGGCAUAGUAUGUUAAGGGGCGUAACAUUUCAGUCACAUACUUGAGGCAUUCGGCCAAUCACAAUGCACUGGAUAGCUGGCCAAUCAUAGCACACCUUGCUUUUGAGCUUUGUAAAAAUCGACGCAUUUCAGAAAGGCGGGGCAUAGAGGAGAAACUAUAAUGUACAUUAUAUGGAAAAUAAUGUGUUUUUUGAAACUUAAACUGCAUAAACACAUUGCAUUACACCAAAUACACCAAAUAUGUUCUUUUUAGCAGCAUCAUAUGACCCCUUUAAAAAUAAUAUUUUAUUUUUUAAAUGUGCACAUUCACUCUUAUUCGUAUGUCUAAUAGUUGAAAACGCAAACGUUUCGUCACGUUCAUUUAUGAUUUACAUUAAUCAUGGUUGCAUAUUUUCAAUUCAAAACUGCGAAAUGUCAUGAAAAGUUGAGUAGUUUGCAUCAAUAGAUAGUCUAUUACUGUCGGUCGCUGAACAUUUCUAUCAUAACAGUGUCACAGUGUCUGGUCUGUGUUUCCCUGGGUGUCCACUAGUGGUCUCACUUCCCCAUAGGCACCCCACUGCAGGCACUACAUUUCCCACAAAGCCUUGUCCCUUCAUCACGGUUAAUUGCACACCUGUUAAUUGCACUCAGCUGUCUCGACUUUCAUCGUCUUCACCUAUCUAUAUAACCGGUCUGUUUUCUAUCUGGGUCAUGGAGUCCUUCUGUAACGAAUGCACACUGGAAACGAGCGAUCCAAAAGCAGUGUUUUAAUAGACCCCUUAAAAGUUUGUAAACAUUGCAACGUCUCCGGGUGGGCGGGGCUUAGCUGGAGGCAAAAAGAGGCGCGGACGCAAUGUUGACAAGCGUAAACUAGCACGUUUUAGGAGGUAUUUAUUAAACAUGGAUGCAGAAGAAGGUUCGGAACCGUCCGAAUAUGUACAGUCACUGACUCUGCGGGACCGUGACAAAAAAAUAAUAAUAAAAAAAGUGGGAGUUAGCAUACAUUUAUCAAUUAAUUCAGUUGAUCACUCAGUUCACUGACCAAACUGGUUAUCUGACCAAAAUAUAAUGACGAGUGGAUAACAUUACAGUAGCCUAAUUUAUUUAUUUAUUUAUUUUUAGCUAAGCCUGGUGUAGUUCUUGUAUCUUGUUCUCAUUGGAAACAUUUUAACCAGGUUUUGGAUAUUUCCUAGACAACAUAUGAAUUACUUUUGGGUGGUUUGGGGAAUUUUGUCAAGACUUAUUGUCUAAUGUAACCUAUCGCUGGGCUAACUAUGAUUAGCAAUGUGGAUUAUUUUAAGAGACCAUUCAAAGGAUGGCACACACAUCUAUCGCUGUAUGUUUGUUUAACAUUUAAGCUAGCUAGUGCGCUGAAGGUUGGCGACUUUUCACCUAUAAAACAUAAACUUGCUGAUUUGUUCUAGAUAAAACCAACACACCAGUACAUAUGCAUAGAUUAUUUUACCUAAUAUGAAGUGUGCACUGCAAACACGAGCAUUAUUUAUGAUCGUCUCUGUCUAGUCUGUACGCCGUAUUGCAUUUAACCACAAUUGUCUUCUUGAUUUCUGUGAAGGAAUGUCGGCCGGGAUCCGGUGAAACUUUAGUUUUGAACCAAAAGUGCUGUUCCUUCUAUUCUGGCAGCCCAAAACACAACAAGACGACAUUUUAAAGUCAAAACCUCAAACUUUUAGCGCGCCUGCUAUGAGUUCUUCCUUAUGUUUUGCCUCCAGCUAGAGCGGUGACGUCACAGUGACGUAGGCGAUUAAGGGGUCUAUAGGGUAAUCCAAAAAUCAUAAUCCAAAAACAGGCAAGAGGUCAUAACACAAAAUCAGUCCAGAAACAAGAAACAAGAAACAGAAAGAUAGAAAACAGACCGGUCAUAUACAUUCCCAAUGAAUGUAUAUGACGCCGAAAGAAAACUGUUUAGAGCAUUUUUAAUAUAAGCACCAGUUAAGCUGUGAUACAGGACGACAGGGAGAUGCCAAAAGACCACUAAACCUGCUUACUGUACAUGCUACUAUACGGAUCCAUUCAGAAUAACUAAACCACUGACCAGCGCAUAAUCUGCCAGCCAGCAUUCAUUAUACAACACCCAGACACUGACACUUUGACUACUGGCAAUAUGUCAGAAGUGCUGGUACGCAUGAAAAAGUGCCAGUACACUAAAGACUAAUAUAUUGAAGUUCCGGUAAUGCAUACCGGUGCGUAUCGGCCCACUUUAAGCACUUAAGUAAUAAAAAUAAAGUAUGUAUUUUCUAUGGCUUCUGAGUUGCAAUAAAUAGACUUGAAAUGCGACUUGUUACUGCUGGGUAUGAUGAUGAUGAUGAUAUAACACUUUUUAAUGAAUAAAAGUAAUUAUAUAAGUAAAAGGGUAUUCUUUCUAUUGCUUCCAUAUUUCAACAAUAAAAUACAAAGUGAAGUUAAAAAUUAAAGUAAAGACAUAGUUUGGAAGAUAUUUAUUAUUAUUAUUAUUAUUAUUUUAUCAUUUUAUUGCGCUAUUCUUUGUAAGUUUUUUUUUUUUAAUGUCAAAAUGUUAAUGAAGGAGUAAAAACAACCCCCCCACCCAAAAAAAGUUACAUAAAAUAGAUUGAAGAAAGUGCAAUAAAAACUACUUUUUAAAAAUAUUAUUAAAACCAGCAAACUGUCCAUACCUGAUUAUGAUUGGUCACUUGCAGUGCUGGCACUUUGGUUUUAAUUAAUAUAUUCAUGUAAUAUUUUCCGGGCUAAUUGUUUUGAAUGUUGUAAUAUACUUUUUUCCUUAAUGAAAGCUUUAAGAUAUUGUUCAUGUAAAAUUAUAAUUGUAAACAUAAUUUAUUGAUUAGUUUUUACCAUGACGUAAUUUGUCAAAAAUAAACAUAAGUAGAGAUUAGGAUGGCAGCAAAUUUGACAAAAAUCAGUUUAUCACAGCACUGUCAGACCACUCAUUUGUGCAGUAUGGAUUCUGCUAAGGCAUACAGCAUUCUGAAUGGUUCUCAUUUAUGAUUUUGUUGUGUUUUUUAUGUUACUUCGGUUGUCCUAGAAACGUUUACAACUGAGAAUUGUGCCCCUUCAGAAGGUUAUAACAUGGUAUUGCACUUGUGACAUAAAAUUCAAUAACCUUUUUGGACAAGAUUAUCUGGCAAACAAUAACUUUGUCUUCAAGAUUCAGGUCAAUUAAGUGAGUGUUAUUAAAUGUAUCGGUGGGGCACUGAAAUGGCUGUAAAUCCGUAUCAUUGUACCAUGCUGUUCAUGGGUUCCCCUUGAAUCAAUAAAGUGUUAUCUUAUCUAAUCUUAUUUUAUGUAACCUUAUGUUCUGUAAGGGUUGAAUCAGUCUUUCCGCCUUUCAGAAAAAAAUUCUUAUGCUAUUCAGUUUUCAUUAUAAAAUUUGUAAUCAGUGGUGAUGAUCCAAUACUGAUGCUCAGAUUACUUAAAGGGGUGCUAUUAUGCUUUUUCACUUUUUCACAACACACUGGCCCAGCUAACCAAUCACAACACAGACUGGCACAGCUUACCAAUCAAAGCGCAUUUCGUAUUUCAGAAGGCGGGCCUUUAUUUGAUACAGGAACUAUUCCAGCCGUUCAUGCCAGACUGGGGAGAGAAGUGAUGUAAUAAUGUAAAAUAUGUGAAAAAUAAUGUGUUUUUCGAACAACCUAGUAUGAGAGCCUGUUCUAGUACACCCCCAAAACAAAAUCAAGACCUUGUAAAAGAGCAUAAUAGGACCCCUUUAUAUUAAUCUAUCAAAUAAAUUCGGCUGAGACAUUUUGUGUGCAUACUAAGGCAUUUAUAAACACAUUUACAUGCAUAUGGACAUACAAUUCUAUCUCCACUCAGCGGUCUUUGCAUUUCACUCUUUG
ensembl:lncRNA